rnacentral:lncRNA from 1 species
AGAAGAGCACUGUGGGGAUGGUUUGUCUCUGCUCCGUGACGUCUAGGGCUUUGGCUGGAGGCUGGAACCAUCUGAGUAUCUCUUCACUCACUUGUCUGGUGAUUGAUACUGACCAGGACCUCAAAUGAACUACUGGCUGGGACAUCUGCCUCCCCAUGGCUACUGACUUCUUCAUAGCAUGGUAGCUGGGUUCAAGAGCAAGUGUCCCAAGGGAACAAGACAGAAGCACUUGCCAGUGUAAUGACCCAUAUGAGAAGUCACAUGGCAUCAUUUCUACCAUGGUACCCGUUGAGGCAAUCGCAAAGGUCCAGCGGGCUCAAGGGCAGGGGACAUGGAACCCACCACUCAACAGGACGGUUGCCAAGGUCACAUGGGACCACGAAGUCUUCAAUGGACAUGGCAGGAUGAAGGAAGAUGGUGCUUUUAUCAGCAACAGUCAUGUCUCUGGAGGGGUCUUCUGUGCUUCCUUCCUGUCCCCCUCCCCUCCCCUCUCUCUCCUCUCCUCAAAGCUAGCCACAAAAGACACAUGGGACCUUUGGAAUGUGUAGGGUGGUUUAAUGGAGGUUCUUCUGUAUUUCUCAUGUCAGACUUCCCAACACCUUCACGCUGAGCCUCCCCCCACCUCCCAGGAAACACUACGGCGGGCGGCCAUUUUAGCUCCCUUUUGGGGGAUUAGCAGUAAAUCCUAUAAUUGGCCCUUUGACCAGCUUUUUGACUGUCUUUGGGCUUUUGUUUGUUUGUUUUGCUAGAGACCAAGUCAAGAAUUUAAAUGCUAGUCUUUAAAUUACUCAAUCAUUGUGGUCCAUUUUCUAUUACCUAACCAAACACAAAGUUAACCCAUAACUUAAACUCAACUGUGUCAUGAGAGUCUGUGAAAUGUCUGUUGAUAUUGCUGGUAUUGAAAGAGGCCAGAUGGCCUUCUGCCUGUGCCCCAUGAAGAAGAAGGAAUACUCUAG